GCCGGGUGUGAUGGCUCACACCUGUAAUUCCAGCGCUUUGGGAGGCUGAGGCAGGAGGAUCACUUGAGGCCAGGAGUUUGGGAACUGCCUGGGCAACAUAGUGAGACCCUGCCUCUA
ensembl:misc_RNA Metazoa_SRP Metazoan signal recognition particle RNA